rnacentral:rRNA from 1 species
UACGUAGGGGGCGAGCGUUGUCCGGAGUGACUGGGCGUAAAGAGCACGUAGGCGGUUUGAUAUGUCUGAUGUGAAACACCUGGGCUUAACUCAGGUUCUGCAUCGGAAACUGUCAGACUUGAGUACAGGAGAGGAAAGCGGAAUUCCCAGUGUAGCGGUGAAAUGCGUAGAUAUUGGGAGGAACACCAGUGGCGAAGGCGGCUUUCUGGACUGGAACUGACGCUGAGGUGCGAGAGCUAGGGGAGCGAACAGG